rnacentral:rRNA from 1 species
GACGAACGCUGGCGGCGUGCCUAACACAUGCAAGUCGAACGAGAUCCAUGGGAGCUUGCUCCCGGAAGAUCUAGUGGCGAACGGGUGAGUAACACGUGAGAAACCUGCCCUGGAGUGGGGAAUAACUCGGGGAAACUCGAGCUAAUACCGCAUACCCUCGGAUGGUCGCAUGGCCGACCGAGGAAAGAUUUAUCGCUCUAGGAGGGUCUCGCGGCCUAUCAGCUAGUUGGUGGGGUAACGGCCUACCAAGGCAACGACGGGUAGCUGGUUUGAGAGAACGAUCAGCCACACUGGGACUGAGACACGGCCCAGACUCCUACGGGAGGCAGCAGUGGGGAAUCUUGCGCAAUGGGCGAAAGCCUGACGCAGCAACGCCGCGUGCGGGAUGACGGCCU